rnacentral:snRNA from 1 species
GGAUGUGAGGGCGAUCUAGCUGCGACAUCUGUCACCCCAUUACUCUCCAGGGUUGAUUUGGCUGAUCUGGCUGGCUAGGCGGGUGUCCCCUUCUUCCCUCAACGCUCCAUGUGCGUCCCUCCUGAAGCUGUGGACUUGGUGGAAGAGGACAACCUUCCCCGAUAGAGGAGGACCGGUCUUCCGUCAGGGGUAUAUGAGUAGCUGUACUUCCCUGCUAGAACCUCCAAACAAGAAUUAAAUAUUAUUUAAAGAGAGAAAACUGCUGUAAGUCUUAAAAAGAGAAAAUGGAAAAAGUGGAAAAGGUACCAAAUGAAUGUUACCUAGGUUU